rnacentral:rRNA from 1 species
GACGAACGCUGGCGGCGUGCCUAAUACAUGCAAGUCGAGCGAAUGGAUUAAGAGCUUGCUCUUAUGAAGUUAGCGGCGGACGGGUGAGUAACACGUGGGUAACCUGCCCAUAAGACUAGGAUAACUCCGGGAAACCGGGGCUAAUACCGGAUAAUAUUUUGAACUGCAUGGUUCAAAAUUGAAAGGCGGCUUCGGCUGUCACUUAUGGAUGGACCCGCGUCGCAUUAGCUAGUUGGUGAGGUAACGGCUAACCAAGGCAACGAUGCGUAGCCGACCUGAGAGGGUGAUCGGCCACACUGGGACUGAGACACGGCCCAGACUCCUACGGGAGGCAGCAGUAGGGAAUCUUCCGCAAUGGACGAAAGUCUGACGGAGCAACGCCGCGUGAGUGAUGAAGGCUUUCGGGUCGUAAAACUCUGUUGUUAGGGAAGAACAAGUGCUAGUUGAAUAAGCUGGCACCUUGACGGUACCUAACCAGAAAGCCACGGCUAACUACGUGCCAGCAGCCGCCGUAA